GCCAUCUUGGGGAGGGCGUGGUUUUGUGACAGGGGACAUCUGAGGGCUUCCAGUGGUGAGCUGAAGGAUGAGCGAUCUAAGUGAUUUGAAGUGAUUCAAGGUGGUGAGGGAAAUAAUAAAAGUAGGGCUAAUUCUGAUCAGUAGGAAGGAUUUUAAGGAGGGAGUUCGGAAUGAGGCUGUCAGGAUGGGAUGUUUUCUUCACAUCUAAAGGAUGGGUGCGAGGAGGGAGGAGAGUCUGAAAAACAGAGGGAGGAGGCAAAGGAAAUAACAAAAAUAGGGAUAAAUCUGUUUUAUAGGAGGGGCUUUAAGAAAGGAUCACUUAAAUGCAAUGAAGAUGUCAAGUAUGAAGUGUUUUCCUCACAUCUAAAGGAUGCUGUGGAUGGGUUCUUCCAAUUGGCAGUGUAAGGGAGGAGGAUUUGAAAUACAGAGGAAAAAGGAGGUGAGGAAAUAAUAAAAAUAGGUAUAAAUCCGUUUUACAGGAAGAAUUUUAAGGAAGGAUCACUUAAAUGCAAUGAAGACAUCAAGCAUGAGGUGUUUUCCUCACAUCUAAAGCAUGGUGGGGAUGGGUGCUUCCAAUGGGAAGUGUAAGGGAGGAGGAUUUGAAAUACAGAGGAAAGGAGGGGGAGGAAAUUAAAAAUAGGUCUAAUUCUUAUUAAGAGGAGGGAUUUUAAGAAGGGAUUUCAGACUGAAGCUGUCAGGUUUGAGGUGUUUUCCUCAUGGCUAAAGGAUGGGUGUGAAGAGGGAGGUUAACAGGAGCUUGUUUGCAGCUGGAAAACAAACAUAUUUUCAGGAAUAUUCCUUAAAGUAUAUGUUAGGCACUCUGCUGGAGAUCUGCCAGGACACCAAGCUGCCAUCUGUGCCUGGGGCUGUCGAGCUGUGUUCAGCUCUGCAUCUGAGACACUGCUGUCCUGAAAUGGGGAGGGAUCAUCUGAACAAGGAUGCCCAAAAGGAGCAGGCUGGUCACAUCAGAAGCUUUAAACCAACCAUGCCUCUCUUUAUCAAGCCCUUGUGAAGCAAGGAUGGGAAACUACCAGAAUCCUCACAAGCAAAUGACAUAGGAAAGGAAUUCUCUCCAUAGUGCCAAUUGCAACAAGAAGAUGGCUUGGACUCCCAAAUUCACUGAAUAGCUCCAGAAAACCACCAGUAACUGGGUAACACACUAAAUGCAACAAGCCCCAGCAUCUGGAAUGGAAAGCUUCAAUACCUGCACAUCUGAGAGAGCAACCACUGCUGAAGAAGAGCCUCCUACAGUACUCAACUUGUACACGUUGUGAUGAAACAGAGAUGUCUGUUAUACAGUAGUGGAGCCUCCCAUGAAGCUGCAUCCGUUCAAGCUGGACUGUUUCUCAGAAGUCAGCAGCAGUUGGUGGAUGUUUGAAGCACCGUAUUCAAGUAGAGAAUCAACCCAUUUUAAAAUCCAGACUUAUUUCAAGGUGUCUGCUGGUCUUCAUUAACCACAGGGCAGCCUGAAUUACAUGCAAAAUUGAGAUGGAUGAGGGUCUGGGAGAGGGAAAAAGGGGGAAAAAAAGGUGUUUAAUUUUGCAGUUUGGGAUGGCUGGAAGGGCUUUCUCAUCUGCUAUCAAAGAACUGAAUGGCAGUUUCUCAGACACUCUUGAAAGCAGUGCCUUCAUCCUUUGCACUUCACUGGUCCCCAUCUGGUAUGUGUCAUACAAAAGCAGAUUUUGGGGCUUUUAAAGAGAAAACAACUAAUGAUAUUUCACUACUUGCUCCAGUCAGUUUUGCUCACUAAAACUUGAAAUUGUUGUAGCUGCAGUCUAUCUCAUACGUAAGAAGGGCUUUGCUUCCCUGCAGCAGUUGUAUCAGAUCAGCCCACACAUCUGUUCUGAGCAGCAUACUGUCUGCCUGCUGGCUGGAUAACAGCUUCAGAGGAAACUGCAGUGAUGGCUGCAAGAGGUGAUUGUAGAGAAACUUGCCCAGAAGGAUAUUAUUUUCCUAAAUACUUGUUCCACACCCAGUUGUUCU